rnacentral:lncRNA from 1 species
UUAAUUCAGUAACACUUGUCUUUGUUCACUUUUUCUAUGUGUAAGCAUCUCAGACUCACACUGAUUUAUAAUCUCCAUGAUUCUAUAGGUCAGUUGGGCAGUGAGGCUUUGGGCAGUCUUCCCUAAGCUUUCCCAUGAAGCUACAUUCAUCUAGAGAUCAUCUGCACUGGGCAUUACAAGAUGACCCCACUGGAAUGUCUGGGGACAGGUGCAGGUUAUUGGCUGCAAUACUUGUCUCCCUUCCAAGCAUCCUCUACCAGCAGGGAGAAAAUGAAUGGGCAGCACAAUUUCCACCCCUGCAUAUACUGGAGCAGAGAUAGGUGAACAGCCAUAUACUGGAUGCCAUAGAGAUUUGUGAGCUAAAUUAGAUAUGUGAUAGAAUGUUGGGCAAUGUAUGAAGUGCCUUUGAAAUUUUAUAUUCCAACAUAUGUGGUAGAAAGUCCUAAAACCAAGAAAAUCUGAAAGAAAACUAAAGCAGUGUCUGUCUGCCCUAUUCCUGAGGUGACUUGUGAAAUCCUUUUUAAAAAUUAUUAUCAUAAAUCCAAAAAAGAAUAUGACAAAAUUUA